rnacentral:rRNA from 1 species
UACGUAGGGUGCGAGCGUUGUCCGGAAUUAUUGGGCGUAAAGAGCUCGUAGGCGGCUCGUCGCGUCGACCGUGAAAACCCGCAGCUUAACUGCGGGCUUGCGGUUGAUACGGGCGGGCUAGAGUUCGGUAGGGGAGACUGGAAUUCCUGGUGUAGCGGUGAAAUGCGCAGAUAUCAGGAGGAACACCGGUGGCGAAGGCGGCGUCCUGGACCAACACUGACACUGAAAAGCGAAAGCCAGGGGAGCAAACGGG